AAUUGGUAUUAGAUGAGAAUAACUAAACUGAAUUGUAUUAGAAGAUAAAUAUUAUUAUCUUGUAUCUGACAUUCAAGAAUUGAAUAUAAAUAUUCUUCAUGAUUACUGAGCCAAAAAAAAGAAUUGCCCAUGGCUGAGGUAGAGCAUUGUUGGUAGCUGAUACCUCUAAAGAAGGUUGUAGGACUAUCUAUCAAAGAAGGGGAAAAUCAUAAACAGGAAUAUUAUCUGUUUCAGGAACUUCAUUCACCAUUAGCAUUAACAAGUUAUAGACAUACAGAAUCAAGAAAAUAUCCAAACAUUUGAUUGCGCGUAUCUUCAUCAGUUUGCAUUCUCCAUAAUAAUUUACAGAAACUUCUUAUCUAUCAAUUGAUAAUUUCAACAUUAUUCAUUCCCACGCCAAAAUUAUGCAAACGGGAAAGUGACCUUUAUUUAAAGAUAUACAAGUUUAGAGGUAAGAUGGGAC
rnacentral:misc_RNA from 1 species